AAACUUAUUUAAUCGGUUAAUUAAUAAUACAAUCUGGUAACGUUGUCAACGUGUCGUUAUUUUUUUAAUCACGCCUUAAGUUUAAAUCGAUGAGUUGAUGUUAUUUCUUAAUUUGUGCAGCCUUACUAGUAUCUCUUCGUUAUUCUUGAUGUGGGUAGAUUAUUGAUUUAAACAACAUUAUAUUUUUAUCGUUUAGAAAACAUUUUAUCGGCUGUAAGAAGAAGAUUUAGUCUCUCGGGAAAUUAUACAUAACAAUUUGUUAUACGACUUAAUCCUUUAUUUAU